rnacentral:rRNA from 1 species
AAUCAACGCUGGCGGCGUGCCUAACACAUGCAAGUCGAGCGGGAAAGGGGCUUCGGCCCCUGAGUAUAGCGGCGGACGGGUGAGUAACACGUGGGUAAUUUGCCCUUGGGUGUGGAAUAACUCAGGGAAACUUGAGCUAAUACCGCAUGACAUCCCCUUCACACACGAGUCGGGGAUCAAAGCCGGGGACCCUUCGGGGCCUGGCGCCUGACGGAGAAGCCCGCGCCCGAUUAGCUAGGUUGGNGAGGUAAUGGCUCACCAAGGCUUCGAUCGGUAGCCGGCCUGAGAGGGCGGACGGCCACACUGGGACUGAGACACGGCCCAGACUCCUACGGGAGGCAGCAGUGGGAAUUUUGUCAAUGGGGAACCUGAACAAGCAACGCCGCGUGGAGGACGACG